ACGCUCGACACCUACGGGAGGGCAGCAGUGAGGAAUAUUGGUCAAUGGACGCAAGUCUGAACCAGCCAUGCCGCGUGCAGGAUGACGGCUCUAUGAGUUGUAAACUGCUUUUGUACGAGGGUAAACGCAGAUACGUGUAUCUGUCUGAAAGUAUCGUACGAAUAAGGAUCGGCUAACUCCGUGCCAGCAGCCGCGGUAAUCUGAGCGGGCUGGCAAGGC
rnacentral:rRNA from 1 species